GGUGGGUUGGCUCAGUGGUUAGAGCUUAGGUCUGUAACUGAAAGGUUGCGGGAUCGAAUCCCGCUAGAGGCUG
rnacentral:tRNA from 1 species